rnacentral:rRNA from 1 species
UACGUAGGGGGCAAGCGUUGUCCGGAAUCAUUGGGCGUAAAGAGCGCGUAGGCGGCCCCGUAAGUCCGCUCUGAAAGUCAGAGGCUCAACCUCUGAAUGCGGGUGGAUACUGCUGGGCUAGAGUCCGGAAGAGGCGAGUGGAAUUCCUGGUGUAGCGGUGAAAUGCGCAGAUAUCAGGAGGAACACCGGUGGCGAAGGCGGGUCUCUGGGCCGAUACUGACGCUGAGGAGCGAAAGCGUGGGGAGCGAACAGG